rnacentral:rRNA from 1 species
CCUACGGGAGGCUGCAGUGGGGAAUAUUGGACAAUGGGCGAAAGCCUGAUCCAGCCAUGCCGCGUGUGUGAAGAAGGCCUUCGGGUUGUAAAGCACUUUCAGUGGGGAAGAAAGCCUUGGGGCUAAUACCCUCGAGGAAGGACAUCACCAACAGAAGAAGCACCGGCUAACUCCGUGCCAGCAGCCGCGGUAAUACGGAGGGUGCGAGCGUUAAUCGGAAUUACUGGGCGUAAAGCGCGCGUAGGCGGUCUGAUAAGCCGGUUGUGAAAGCCCCGGGCUCAACCUGGGAACGGCAUCCGGAACUGUCAGGCUAGAGUGCAGGAGAGGAAGGUAGAAUUCCCGGUGUAGAGGUGAAAUGGGUAGAGAUCGGGAGGAAUACCAGUGGCGAAGGCGGUCUUCUGGACUGACACUGACGCUGAGGUGCGAAAGCGUGGGUAGCAAACAGGAUUAGAUACCCUAGUAGU